AGCUUCCUUGUCGUGUGGCCUCAGUCCUUCGCCGUCCCUCGCCGUCCUUCGCCAUCGCACGCCACCGCACCCCAUCUCUCGAAAUCUGCAGACAUCUUGAUUUUUCCCACGCUGUCUGUCAGGUCUCCGCCGCCACUCGACGCCAGGGCGCCGGGCCUUGUGGGCUGUGCUGCACCUCGGACGGCUUCGCACCAGCCAGCGCCCUCUCUCUCCUGCAGCACUCUGAUCUGCACCCCCUGAGGGGCUUCCACUGUCCGCGGGGUGAGAAUGCCCCUGGGAGUGUCACAUGACUGCCGCCCCAUGUGUGUGAGAGGCGUCCUCUGGGAGAGCAUGGAUCCUGAGGUCCCAGGAUUGUCAGCUGACCUCUGUCCUGUGUGCCCAGUGGCCCCAGGUGACGUGUCUUCAAGAAGAGGCUGAGCUGCGGUGCUUGUAAGGUCUCAGCCUUAGAUCCAAGGACAGUCCAAGGAAGUCCUAAGACCAUGGAGUUGGUGAUCUGGGAUCUGGGUUUGCUGAUAUUUCUCACCGUGGUGAGUUGAUGCCAAGAGCCAGAACCCACAGCCAGAGGCUCAGCUGGUCCGUGUUUAUGCAGAUGGGAACCUCAAAUCACUGGUCUCACUUGUCCUUUGUUUCAGAAUCUCUUGGUGGUGUUUGUGGGCACGAGAGGGGCAGAGAAUGGAGAGUGAGGCUACCACAUGAAGCGUCACCAGAGCUGCUCCCUGCUGCCUGCUCAGAGCACCCCGGAUCCACUGUUCAAUCUGCACAAGAUUCGGGGUCCAGACAUGGGAGACUUCAGCUGCCUCAGAGGACCGUGGACAGGGAAGGCCAGCCUCGCAUCCCUCUGUCCAUGCCUGGAAUGACUUUAAUAACCAAGAGUUUUAUUUUUGAAUUUGUAGCUGUCGUUCACUUUUUACCCACCCAUUCAAUAAACCUUACAGAAUUGC
rnacentral:lncRNA from 1 species